rnacentral:ncRNA from 1 species
GCCCUGGGGACAGCGAUCUCCCCACGAGGCGACAUGCCGAAGCAUCGCGUCCUGCCAACCGCAAAGGACGCCAUCCAUG